UCCAAGGAGUGACUCGAGUUGCCGCUACUCGGGCUUUGGCUAGGACUAACGUAUCAAAGUCAUAACGGGCAACUACGCAGAGUGCUUCAGGCCGAUUCUGUUGAAGAAACGAACAGAUCCUAUAGUCACUCUGGUUUCAAGUCUCGCGAGUGCUGUUUAUCAGUGCUGUUGAGCUGACUUUAUAUAUAUAUAUUCGUUUUAACAUAACUUAGGUGUCGCUACACUACAUUUAUGAAGAUGUGUAAUGUAAGAAAAAAAUAGCACAAGGUAAACUGCAGUGUUUAGAGAUGCACGGGACAUAAUCUCUUUUAUAAGGUAUGAAAACUGAUGUCAAAGAUCCCAAAUAACCCACAUCGACGAGACACAAAACCAGGUGAUUCGUAGAGUGUUUCUAGCUUGUACAAAACAAAUCUAAGUCUUUAGAUUGAUGUAAACUUCCCAUAUCAAAAUAAAUGUAUUAAAUGCGAGCUGAUUUAAACAAAAUAAUAAAAGUUUCUAUUAGAAAA